rnacentral:tRNA from 2 species
GCGGGAGUAGCUCAGGGGUAGAGCACAACCUUGCCAAGGUUGGGGUCGCGAGUUCGAAUCUCGUUUCCCGCUCCA